UCAGCGGGUAUUCUUAUUUAAUCCGAGGUUAAACUUUUGGAUUUUCUCUUCGUGUAACUACGAUUCGAUUUUAUAAUUAAAUGACUUUUGAACCGGAUAUUUAAAGGUUAUUUUAAUUUUGUAGUUAAACGACUUUUAAAAUAAAUCCUCGCAAUCUACUUGAUUUUGUAAUUAAACGACUCUCAAGAUUUCGUCUUAGCGAAGCAGAGAUUAGAUGGAUUUUUAAUUAUUAUCCUCAUUAUUUUUGCAUAACAAAAUAAUAAUUAAAUCACCAAUCAUUUUCAGAAGAUAUGAAGACAUAAAUUCCAACACCAAGUAGAACUUGAAGUUUAAAAUAACGCUCGAAUAAAUAUACCUUUCGGAAUACCAAAAGGUGCAAUGUGCGUUCAAAGAUUCGAUGAUUCACUGAAUUCUGCAAUUCACAUUACUUAUCGCAUUUCGCUGCGUUCUUCAUCGAUGCCAGAACCA
rnacentral:misc_RNA from 1 species